rnacentral:rRNA from 1 species
AAUUCGAUUAGAGUUUGAUCCUGGCUCAGGACGAACGCUGGCGGCGUGCCUAAUACAUGCAAGUCGAGCGGACAGAAGGGAGCUUGCUCCCGGACGUUAGCGGCGGACGGGUGAGUAACACGUAGGUAACCUGCCCCUUAGACUGGGAUAACUCCGGGAAACCGGAGCUAAUACGGGAUAAUAAAGAGAAUCACCUGAUUCUCUUUUGAAAGACGGUUUCGGCUGUCACUAAGGGAUGGGCCUGCGGCGCAUUAGCUAGUUGGUAAGGUAACGGCUUACCAAGGCGACGAUGCGUAGCCGACCUGAGAGGGUGAUCGGCCACACUGGGACUGAGACACGGCCCAGACUCCUACGGGAGGCAGCAGUAGGGAAUCUUCCGCAAUGGACGAAAGUCUGACGGAGCAACGCCGCGUGAGUGAGGAAGGCCUUCGGGUCGUAAAGCUCUGUUGUGAGGGAAGAACAAGUACCGGAGUAACUACCGGUACCUUGACGGUACCUCACCAGAAAGCCACGGCUAACUACGUGCCAGCAGCCGCGGUAAUACGUAGGUGGCAAGCGUUGUCCGGAAUUAUUGGGCGUAAAGCGCGCGCAGGCGGCUUCUUAAGUCUGAUGUGAAAUCUCGGGGCUCAACCCCGAGCGGCCAUUGGAAACUGGGAAGCUUGAGUGCAGAAGAGGAGAGUGGAAUUCCACGUGUAGCGGUGAAAUGCGUAGAUAUGUGGAGGAACACCAGUGGCGAAGGCGACUCUCUGGUCUGUAACUGACGCUGAGGCGCGAAAGCGUGGGGAGCAAACAGGAUUAGAUACCCUGGUAGUCCACGCCGUAAACGAUGAGUGCUAGGUGAUAGGGGUUUCGAUGCCCGUAGUGCCGAAGUAAACACAUUAAGCACUCCGCCU